rnacentral:lncRNA from 1 species
GCGCUUUUUUGUUGCUUCUCUGUGUUUUCUAUUUUAUUUUAUUUAUUUUAUUUUUAGAUUUUCAGUUCUUAUUUCACCCAGGGAAGGAGACCUGGGUAUCCACCCCAUGUCCUCCAGAGAACUUCCCUGGCCCCGCUCGGAGUCUUCCUGGGACGCCACAGGCUCGGAGAGCGCUCCGCAGGUUUCUCCCCCGGCGCCUCCAAAUCUUUCGAUUCCUACUCGAAUUACUCCGUCAGCUGCUGGAAGAGGGGCAAGGGAGCCAGGAGGACUUCUGGAGCCCGCCCAGCAAGACCCUCUCUCUCCCAUCUUCUGCUCAAGGGCUCGAGGUCUCAGUGGACAGAGCUGAAGAAAAGCCGUCUAUGGAGCCUGCGCCAGGCGCAGACUGGGUCGUCGCAGUCUGGGUCGUCGCAGUCUGGGCCGGGGCGCUGGAAGUCUUACUCACUUCUCAAGAACCCGCAAGGGAUCAGGCCUGACCCUUUGCAAGUGACAGAAUCCAAAGCUUUGAGCUCAUGGGAAAGUGGCUGGAAAGAAGGUCACUGUAGGGCCGCACAGGUCUCUGGCGAGGCUACCCAAGAACAUUUAAAUCCCUGCCCAGAGAAGAAGAGGCUCCAGCUGUCCUGCACCUUCCUGGGAACUGGCAGUCCCUCCGCGCAGGGGUUCUGCAGCGACCGGCAGCGCGAGGAGACAAGGAUGGUGGCCAGUUAACAGAAAAUCAAGGCAGCGGGAAAGGUCUGGAAAACACCAC